GUCUUUUCGGAAACAUCCGAUAAAUUUGGGACAAUAUAGAGAAUAUUAGCAUGCCCUCCUGCGGAAGGAUGACACGCACAAAUCGAGAAAUGGUCCCUUAUCAU